GUAAAACUGGCGGCGGCAGGACAAAUCACAUGGCGGCGGCGGCUGCCUGAUGGACGGGCGGGCGGGCCAAUGGGAAGAGAGCGCCGCCGACCGCCUGCCUAAGCUGAUCAAAAAUUCCCAUCGGAAAUGCUUGCUCGUUUCGCAGAAUGGCAGAACCAAGGAGAUGCAACCAGGCAUGGUGUGGAUGGAUUGUUGCGAAAGGCACACAAAGCUAGAAUCAUAAGGAAACUGCUGGUCGUUUGAAUGACGAGGUACCAUGGCAUUUCUGGCUAAAAGUCCUAACAGAAGAAUUCGCAGAAAACAUCCCUACCGGAAGGAUCAGUGAAAGAAAGGUGUUUAUGACUGGAGAGACAGCAGAGAAGGCAGAACAUUCCAGCAGACAUAGACUCUCAAAGUCCAUAGAGGUUCCAGGCUGAAGUUACUAUGAAGGAUUCACCUUCUCAACCUCUUCCCAUGUACUCCAGUGAUCAGGAAGCUGCUUCAGCCUCGAGAGGAGGAACAAUAGCUCGGCAGCCGAAUCCAGAUUUGGCGGGAGAUAAGGGGGCCUGCAGUUGGGUACAACUGGAGACCCCGAGUCCAGCACUGCACUGUGAUACCAACUAGGUGUGUGUGCUCUGAGAUGGGCUUUAUGCGUGCCCGGUGUGAGCGGUUCGCGAGAGGAAUUCAAGGAUGCAAACCAGAAGUAGGCCCCGCACACAAAGCAGUCCUUGAGCCAAGGCCACAAGAAAGGGAAAGAAGAUCAAUCAGAUUUACUGAUUGAGAGAAACGUUCCUGCAGACACCUCCGAGUCAAGGACUCCGUGAACCCUCCACACCAAGAGUGACCCUCGCAACCACUGAACACCAUCAAUUGACCACAAACCUCCACUUGAUAUCUGGAGGCGACCGAGAGCGUCCAGAGACACCAGACACUGACCAAGGCAACACCAGCAACAUCCACGACCAUCCGAGACAACAACCUGCUCGCAAGGACCACCAAGAAGGAAAAGGAACCCAAGGUACUCACCCAUCGGGUCCACUGUGCCCAACCGCAUCAGCGGACACCACCAGACUGACUGUUAGUAGCACUUGUGGCCCUUCGCGAAGUCCCAGUUACAGCAAGAGACUAUGGACAAGAGCCUGUUGAAAUCAUAUUUUCAUUCUAGGGGUGAGCCUAAGGUCAUUGAGACCCUCUAACCCAGCUUGGCUAGUCUUAGACAGGGGAAGGUGGGGUUCAGGAACUAAUGGUGUAGGGCACUCCUAAGGAAGGGAAGUAAUCCCUAGCUCUCUCUCUUCUCCCUGUUAGCACAGAUGCAGUGGGUGGCUGUUGCUUAUGUACCCACUGCAUCAAAUCUUGGCUGUAAGGCUUAACUGGGGGUCAAGUUAACUGGGAGACAGGUCUCAGUCAGUAAUAGACGGGUUUGAUAUUCACUUUCUUGUUCUCCUGUAAAUAUAUUCAAUUUGCUUGUUUUUCAAUAAAAUCAGAGUUUUCUUUGCC